GUGCUCGCUUCAGCAGCACAUAUACUAAAACUGGAACGAUACAGAGAAGAUUAGCAUGGCCCCUGCACAAGGGUGACACGCAAAUUCGUGAAGCGUUCCAUAUUUUU
rnacentral:snRNA from 1 species